GUUCCCUACGGGAGGCAGCAGUGGGGGAUAUUGCACAAUGGGGGGAACCCUGACGCAGCGACGCCGCGUGGGCGAUGGAGUACUUCGGUAUGUAAAGCCCUAUCAGCAGGGAAGAAAAUGACGGUACCUGACUAAGAAGCCCCGGCUAAAUACGUGCCAGCAGCCCCGGUAAUACGUAUGGGGCAAGCGUUAUCCGGAUUUACUGGGUGUAAAGGGAGCGUAGGCGACCUGGCAAGCCUGAUGUGAAAUACCGGGGCCCAACCCCGGGGCUGCAUUGGGAACUGCCAGGCUGGAGUGCCGGAGAG
rnacentral:rRNA from 1 species